rnacentral:misc_RNA from 1 species
GAAAUGCGAUAAGUAGUGUGAAUUGCAGAAUUCAGUGAAUCAUCGAAUCUUUGAACGCACAUUGCGCCCUUUGGUAUUCCAAAGGGCAUGCCUGUUCGAGCGUCAUUUGUACCCUCAAGCUUUGCUUGGUGUUGGGCGUCUUGUCUCUAGCUUUGCUGGAGACUCGCCUUAAAGUAAUUGGCAGCCGGCCUACUGGUUUCGAAGCGCAGCACAAGUCGCACUCUCUAUCAGCAAAGGUCUAGCAUCCAUUAAGCCUUUUUUCAACUUUUGACCUCGGAUCAGGUAGGGAUACCCGCUGAACUUAAGC